UAGGGAAUCUUCGGCAAUGGACGAAAGUCUGACCGAGCAACGCCGCGUGAGUGAAGAAGGUUUUCGGAUCGUAAAACUCUGUUGUUAGAGAAGAACAAGGACGUUAGUAACUGAACGUCCCCUGACGGUAUCUAACCAGAAAGCCACGGCUAACUACGUGCCAGCAGCCGCGGUAAUACGUAGGUGGCAAGCGUUGUCCGGAUUUAUUGGGCGUAAAGCGAGCGCAGGCGGUUUCUUAAGUCUGAUGUGAAAGCCCCCGGCUCAACCGGGGAGGGUAAUUGGAAACUGGGAGACUUGAGUGCAGAAGAGGAGAGUGGAAUUCCAUGUGUAGCGGUGAAAUGCGUAGAUAUAUGGAGGAACACCAGUGGCGAAGGCGGCUCUCUGGUCUGUAACUGACGCUGAGGCUCGAAAGAGUGGGGAGCAAACAGG
rnacentral:rRNA from 1 species